rnacentral:rRNA from 1 species
UGCGUAGGCGGCGUAUCAAGUCAGGCGUGAAAGCCCUCGGCUCAACCGAGGAAUUGCGUUUGGAACUGAUAUGCUAGAGUCUCGGAGAGGUUGGCGGAAUUCCAGGUGUAGGAGUGAAAUCCGUAGAUAUCUGGAGGAACACCGGUGGCGAAGGCGGCCAACUGGACGAGUACUGACGCUGAGGUACGAAAGCGUGGGGAGCAAACAGGAUUAGAUACCCUGGUAGUCC